AUAAUGCAAGUCGAGCGGACAGAAGGGAGCUUGCUCCCGGAUGUUAGCGGCGGACGGGUGAGUAACACGUGGGUAACCUGCCUGUAAGACUGGGAUAACUCCGGGAAACCGGAGCUAAUACCGGAUAGUUCCUUGAACCGCAUGGUUCAAGGAUGAAAGACGGUUUCGGCUGUCACUUACAGAUGGACCCGCGGCGCAUUAGCUAGUUGGUGGGGUAAUGGCUCACCAAGGCAACGAUGCGUAGCCGACCUGAGAGGGUGAUCGGCCACACUGGGACUGAGACACGGCCCAGACUCCUACGGGAGGCAGCAGUAGGGAAUCUUCCGCAAUGGACGAAAGUCUGACGGAGCAACGCCGCGUGAGUGAUGAAGGUUUUCGGAUCGUAAAGCUCUGUUGUUAGGGAAGAACAAGUGCGAGAGUAACUGCUCGCACCUUGACGGUACCUAACCAGAAAGCCACGGCUAACUACGUGCCAGCAGCCGCGGUAAUACGUAGGUGGCAAGCGUUGUCCGGAAUUAUUGGGCGUAAAGGGCUCGCAGGCGGUUUCUUAAGUCUGAUGUGAAAGCCCCCGGCUCAACCGGGGAGGGUCAUUGGAAACUGGGAAACUUGAGUGCAGAAGAGGAGAGUGGAAUUCCACGUGUAGCGGUGAAAUGCGUAGAGAUGUGGAGGAACACCAGUGGCGAAGGCGACUCUCUGGUCUGUAACUGACGCUGAGGAGCGAAAGCGUGGGGAGCGAACAGGAUUAGAUACCCUGGUAGUCCACGCCG
rnacentral:rRNA from 1 species